rnacentral:rRNA from 1 species
AGGCUGCAACCCGCCCUCGCAUGAAGUCGGAAUCGCUAGUAAUCGCGAGUCAGCAUAUCGCGGUGAAUACGUUCCCGGGUCUUGUACACACCGCCCGUCACACCAUGGGAGUCGGUAACGCCCCGAAGCCAGUGACCCAACCUUAGGGAGGGAGCUGUCGAAGGCGGGACGGAUAACUGGGGUGAAGUCGUAACAAGGUAUC